AAACCGACACAGGUGUUCAGGGCGAGUAGCCCAAGGCGAACGAGUGAGAGAUCCUCAAGGAACUCGGCAAAAAAGCGACCGUACGUUAGCAAUAAGGUCCGCCCAUGCAGUGAUGUGUGGGUUGCAACAAAAGUUUCCCAGGCGACUGUUUACCAAAAACACAGCUCCCUGCAAACACGUAAGUGGAAGUAUAGGGGGUGAUGCCUGACCAAUGCCGGAAGGUCAAGUGUGGUCGGUCCUACUUCGCACUUUGCUUCGCAAAGCGCUACGAAGGACAAGUCUUACUCUUACAGAAAGAGUAUUGCUUGCCCUGAGAAGCGCCUUGUAAUCAAGGUGCGGAGCAGGGCUGGCACUACAUAAGCCCCGGUCAAUGUCGGCGAUAACUAUAAUCGUGAACUCGCUACGCCUCGCAAGAGGUUAAGAGUAGGGCGAUUACAAAAUUCGGCUAUUUGCUGGAACAACUGUCUCGAAAAGAGUUAGAGCAUGCGCUACCAUACAGGUAACAAUGCGUAUGUGCAGUCAAUCAGCAGGAAAGGCCGGUACAAGUGUGCUCACGCAAUAAAAAUCAUUGCAUGAACUACACAAUUGAAGAGAUGUUGAAGUUAUUCCACGGCAAGCGUUCCGCGUUGCAUUAUUACCUCGCGGGAUUUAUUGACGGAGAAAGUAGUUUCAGCGUCGCAAUCAUCAAGAACCCUUUCAAAGAAGGGUGGCUGAUAAAUCCGUGUUUUCAGGUGUAUCAACACCAGAACCACAGAGAAAUCUUAGAGUUAUGCCAAGAGGUCUUUAAGACGGGACGAAUUUACCGCAAAAGCGGUACCCAUCCGGUUUUAAACUUCAGCAUCGACUCAAUGCGGAAUAUCAAAGAGCGCGUUAUACCGUUCUUCGAUAAGUAUCCGUUGAUUACGAAACGCGAAUCGUAUCUGAAAUUUCGAGAAAUCGUUCAAUCGAUGGAUCGAGGCGAACACCGCACACAAACGGGGUUCGAAAGGUUAGUGCGACUCGCAUACAGUAUGAAUCAGCAGGGCAAAGGACGCAGGAGAACUCUUGAAGAGAUUCUCGCGCCCAUAGCCAAACUUGUACCGGAAUCCUCAGAGACUUUACGCCGAACUCACGCUUAGUGAGCAGUGAGAUGAUAAAGUCCAAUCCUCAUGGCAACAUGAGGGGCACCGAUGAAAAUCGGUAAUGCCUAAGGUAGCGAAAUUCCUUGUCUGGUAACUGGAUUGCCAGCUUCGGGGGCGACCCCGAUGAAAAAUUCGGCUUAUAACGGUGGAGUCCAAGAUUCGUUCUGGAUAAUACCGUGGGAAGUUAUGUUAGAAUCAAAAGAUGGGACUUGAAACAGUAAUUUCAAUUGGCAUCGCCGCGGUAAUUGCCCUAUUAAUAGGCAUUUAUCAGCGAUUAGGUGAUAACCAAAAGAAAAUCGAGAAAUUGCUCGAAUCCAUCUGGGAAGAGAUUAGAAAAUCUUGAAAUCUAGCAUUAACCCCGUAACGACUUAUGCACCACUAGUCAGUGGCGCAUAGAUAGCCUAGGUAAUACAAUUACAUUGUAUGAACGGCUAUAACACGCCGACUCUCAAAAGAGAUUUAGCGAAUUAUUUCUCCGGCUAUGUUGAUGGCGAAGGAUGUUUCUCGGUAUCGUUCUCGAAACGACCGAAACUCCUCGUCGGGUGGGAAGUGAAGCCAAGCUUUUGCGUAGGUCAAAACUUUGAUCGGCGCGAAGUCUUGGACUUGAUGCAAGAAUACUUCGGUUGUGGCCACAUACGCCGCGACUGGGGUGAUAGAACGCUCAAGUAUGAAGUGCGCAAAUUGGACGACCUUCUCAAGAAAGUCAUCCCGCACUUCGUCAAAUUUCCCCUCAAGUCAGCAAAGCAAAAAGAUUUUCUGCAAUUCGCGGAAAUCUGCCGGAAAAUAAACAAGCUAGAACAUCGGAAGAAAGAAACAUUGCGCAAAAUCAUGCGCGAUGCGUACACGAUGAAUGGUUCGGGUAAGCGGAAACGCCCGCUUGAAACAUUACUAAGCUCUCUUGAGAAGAAGAUAUAGUCUAAUGCCCUGCUCGGUGAAAAUACAUGGGCGGUGAAGAUGCCGCCUUCCUGCAGCUAGACGAAAAGACCCCAGAAGCUUUACUGCAACUUGGUAUUGGGAUUACGGGCGUGCUGCGUAGCGUAAGUGGGAGACUUUGAAGCAAGAGUCUCGGCUCUUGUGGAGUCGUCAAUGCAACACCACUCUUUACGACUGUAGUUUCUAACUUCUGCGGACAAAACCGCAGAAAGACAGUACCUGGUGGGCAGUUUCGGUGGGGCGCUGUCCUCAACUUUCAGCGUCACAGAUUCAAAAUCCGCGGAUGUGUUCACGUCCGGCGAAUCAAAAUAAAAUCAAAGGGGGACCCGCAAAAGGAAUUUUGCGGUGCACAUCCGACUAUAUGCUGGAACAUCUGCGCAUGUUCGAGUACUCGUCCGCGUUGCGGGCAGUGAAAAUCUCGAACCG
rnacentral:ncRNA from 1 species